GAUUAGUUAGUUGGUGGGGUAACGGCCUACCAAGACGACGAUCAGUAGCCGGACUGAGAGGUUGAACGGCCACAUUGGGACUGAGAUACGGCCCAGACUCCUACGGGAGGCAGCAGUCGGGAAUAUUGCGCAAUGGAGGAAACUCUGACGCAGUGACGCCGCGUAUAGGAAGAAGGUUUUCGGAUUGUAAACUAUUGUCGUUAGGGAAGAUACAAGACAGUACCUAAGGAGGAAGCUCCGGCUAACUACGUGCCAGCAGCCGCGGUAAUACGUAGGGAGCGAGCGUUAUCCGGAUUUAUUGGGUGUAAAGGGUGCGUAGACGGACUUACAAGUUAGUUGUGAAAUCCCUCGGCUUAACUGAGGAACUGCAACUAAAACUGUAAGCCUUGAGUGCAGGAGAGGUAAGUGGAAUUCCUAGUGUAGCGGUGAAAUGCGUAGAUAUUAGGAGGAACACCAGUGGCGAAGGCGACUUACUGGACUGUAACUGACGUUGAGGCACGAAAGUGUGGGGAGCAAACAGGAUUAGAUACCCUGGUAGUCCACACCGUAAACGAUGGAUACUAGGUGUAGGAAAUAUUAAGUUUUCUGUGCCGUCGCAAACGCAGUAAGUAUCCCACCUGGGGAGUACGGCCGCAAGGUUGAAACUCAAAGGAAUUGACGGGGGCCCGCACAAGCAGUGGAGUAUGUGGUUUAAUUCGAAGCAACGCGAAGAACCUUACCAGGGCUUGACAUAUAAGUGAAUAAUUAAGAGAUUAGUUAGUUCUUCGGAACACUUAUACAGGUGGUGCAUGGUUGUCGUCAGCUCGUGUCGUGAGAUGUUGGGUUAAGUCCCGCAACGAGCGCAACCCCUGUUUCUAGUUGCCAGCACGUCAAGGUGGGAACUCUAGAAAGACUGCCGUAGAUAAUACGGAGGAAGGUGGGGAUGACGUCAAAUCAUCAUGCCCUUUAUGUCCUGGGCUACACACGUACUACAAUGGCUGUAACAGAGGGAAGCAAGCUAGUGAUAGCAAGCAAAACCCAAAAAGCAGUCUCAGUUCGGAUUGAAGGCUGAAAUUCGCCUUCAUGAAACCGGAAUUGCUAGUAAUGGCAGGUCAGCAUACUGCCGUGAAUACGUUCCCGGGCCUUGUACACACCGCCCGUCACACCAUGAGAGUUGGGGAUACCCGAAGCCUGUGAGCCAACAGUUUACUGAGGCAGCAGUC
rnacentral:rRNA from 1 species